UGUAACAAAGAGGAGUCGAGGCCGCGAGCUGCAUAUGGUGGGCUCAUGCAUUGUAGAAGGAGAAGGAGAUACGAACAUGGUUGCCGACAAAUCGAAGGAGUACUAGAAAUCUGAAAGAAAUUAUUGAGAGAAAAGAAAAUAGAGUAGAGAAUAUCACUUUCUCACCAUCUCUUAUUGGCUUUCUUCAUAUAUGCAAAACUCUUGGUGAGGUUUGAGUUGGCUCGAGUCUGCUAUGAAAGUAACAAGUCGAUCCUAGGGUCUGUUGAAGCCUGGAUCAGUCCGACCCGUUUUCAUCCCUAGUUGCGAAGGUAGGGAGACAAGUACAGAAUCUAUAGCGUCUCUGUCCACUUUAUCGUUAUCUGAUAGAAUUUCCUUUUGGAGAUGGUGCUAUAGGUGGUGGUUGUCGUUGCUUUUGAGAGAAUUUAUUUGUCGACAGAAUAGCAAGGAUCUUCCGGCUAUCGAAGCAUCGACAAUGGCGAGGGAUGUCAUGAGCUUAACUAUACAAUAGAAAAUCGGGAUUUGUCCAAUCUUAUAAAGCACAUUGCCUCAACCCAUUCUACCGAUGUGAGAUGUAUGACAAGGGAUUGGCGUGAAAUUGGAGACAUGAAUCCUUAAGCAGGCACUUACAAUUAUGCAGAGGAAGAUGAAAUUGAGAGGGAUUGAGCGGAUGAUGAGUAGACUCGCCGGAUCACGUCACAGGACCUCGUUUCGAAGCUCAAGCUCAUCUUCUCCAACAAGGGAUAUGAAAACCGUCGAUGGUGCAGUCUUCGGUUGACAUAUGUGGUGCAUCAAGUGCUGAUGGGGGAUAUAUCCUCAGUGUUUCCUUGAUGAUGGCUGGGAUGUACACCAAUUUUUGCAGAUCCGAAUCUUCAAUGCGCCUAUCUCUACCGACACAGGUCUAUUCUAUGAUUUGAGAGCAGCUCCACAGUCGCUAUCUUGCGCAUCUCACGCCAAUAAGGACCGUAAGGGCUGAUGGCGAACAUUGCAUAGUGGUAGCCAAGAAUAUCUGCGGCCAUGGAAGUAGGACGGGUA